UGUCACUCUAAUUAGAAAACUGACUUCCACCUGAAGGUCAGAGCCAAGGCGAUGGAGUCCCAGGCUCAGCUCCUCGGCCUCCUCCUCCUCCUCUGGGUCUGUGAUACCAGGGCAGAAACAACACUCACACAGUCUCCAGGAUUGGUGUCAGCAGUGCUAGGGGACAAAGUCGACAUCACCUGUAAAGCCAGUCAAGACAUUGAUGAUGAUCUGCACUGGUAUCAGCAGAAACCAGGAGAAGCUCCUACACUCAUUAUUAAAGGUGUUUCUACUCUCAUCUCCGGGGUCCCCUCCCGGCUCAGCGGCAGUGGGUACGGAACGGAUUUUACCCUGACCAUCAAUAAUGUGGAACAGGAGGAUGCUGCUUAUUAUUUCUGUCAACAGGAUGAUAAUACACCUCUCACAGUGCUUCACUCUGUUACAAAAACCUCCAGAUGCCCUCAGUGGGAUCCUCUCGGCAGCUACUGAAAAUGUCCAAUACGU